rnacentral:rRNA from 1 species
AUUGAACGCUGGCGGCAGGCUUAACACAUGCAAGUCGAACGAGUGGCGGACGGGUGAGUAAUGCUUGGGAAUCUAGCUUAUGGAGGGGGAUAACUACGGGAAACUGUAGCUAAUACCGCGUACCAUAGGAUGCGACCAAUGGGGAUUAGGUGGGUGGUGGGGUAAAGGCUCACAAAGCCGCCGAUCUCUCGCUGGUCUGAGAGGAUGACCAGCCACACUGGGACUGAGACACGGCCCAGCCUCCUACGGGAGGCAGCAGUGGGGUAUGUUGCGCAAUGGGGGCAACCUGACGCAGCCAUGCCGCGUGAAUGAAGAAGGCCUUCGGGUUGUAAAGUUCUUUCGGUAGCGAGGCGUUAACUACAGAAGAAGCACCGGCUAACUCCGUGCCAGCAGCCGCGGUAAUAC